rnacentral:lncRNA from 1 species
GUACCUGUAUUUCCAGGUGCUGUACCAGUUCAGUCAUAUAUACCUUUUGUGAUCAGUCACCGUGGAGUGUGCUUAACAAGUAGAAAUCAAAUACAACUGAAGUUUUCCUUUUUGAGACUUAAACUGUUCACCAUCAUCAAGUUGUCCACUACAGCUGCCACUGAAGCACAGCACAGGCCAGAAGUCUGACAUCUCCCAAGGAAGAUGUUGAAAUUGCAGGUGGAAGAGCAAAGUAACCCUCAAGUACAGGGAAAAGGUGA